CUAACUGCUAAAGCUUGUUGGGACUCAUUGCCAUCUAAGCUCAACCAUUACAAAGGUGUAUCUACGUAACAUGCAGAAUGGUUUAAGGUUUUCUCAUUCGCCAGAUCUUGAUUGAGGUAGUAGUUGUUCAAUUCAUCCCAUGUUUGGUCGGUUAGUGUUUGAGGUUUCCUAAUUUUUUGAACCAUGUCUGGACAUGGGCUACUAUAGCAAUAUGUCUUUGAUCCUUUAAUUUUAUCCUAAAACCAAAGAGCUAUGGUAAGAGUUCCUGAAAGCACGAUACUAUUGCAGGUCUUUAUGAAAGACAAGGAUCCUGACUUGGUAGCCUUCAUGUCUUCUUCUCCACUCCAGCAACCACCAGUCAUCAUACCACCCAGCACACAAACAGGCACCCUUCCAGACACCACAGCAGCAGCAGUCCAACCAGCAGGACUCACCACUGGAACCACACCAACCUCCCCUUUAUCUAACACCGCCUCUAAUCAUUGAACUUGAUUUUUAUUUCCUUUUGUCUUUGUGAUCAUGAAAACUUAUUAAGAUAUGUUAUGCUCUAAUUAGGAUGAUAUUUGAAUGGUUUGGAAGUACUUGAAUGAUAUUUGAAUGGUUGAAUGUAGCAUUUGCUUUUGAAAUGGACAUGUUUCGGAUUAA